rnacentral:rRNA from 1 species
GGGGUGACCGUUAUCCCGGCAUUAUUCGGCGCGUAAAGCGCGCGCAGGUCGGUUUCUUAAGGCUGAUGUCAAAGCCCACGGCUCAACCGUAGGAGGGUCAUUGGAAACUGGGAGACUUGAGUGCAGAAGAGGAAAGAGGAAUUCCAUGUGUAGCGGUGAAAUGCGUAGAGAUAUGGAGGAACACCAGUGGCGAAGGCGACUUUCUGGUCUGUAACUGACACUGAGGCGCGAAAGCGUGGGGAGCAAACAGGAUUAGAUACCCUGGUAGUCCACGCCGUAAACGAUGAGUGCUAAGUGUUAGAGGGUUUCCGCCCUUUAGUGCUGAAGUUAACGCAUUAAGCACUCCGCCUGGGGAGUACGGCCGCAAGGCUGAAACUCAAAGGAAUUGACGGGGGCCCGCACAAGCGGUGGAGCAUGUGGUUUAAUUCGAAGCAACGCGAAGAACCUUACCAGGUCUUGACAUCCUCUGAAAACCCUAGAGAUAGGGCUUCUCCUUCGGGAGCAGAGUGACAGGUGGUGCAUGGGUGUCGUCAGCUCGUGUCGUGAGAUGUUGGGUUAAGUCCCGCAACGAGCGCAACCCUUGAUCUUAGUUGCCAUCAUUAAGUUUGGCACUCUAAAGUGACUGCCGGUGACAAACCGGAGAAGGUGGGGAUGACUUCAAUCAUCAUGCCCUUAUGACCGGGCUACACACGUGCUACAUGGGACGGUACAAAGAGCUGCAAGACCGCGAGGGGGAGCUAAUCUCAUAAAACCGUCCUCAGUUCGGAUUGUAGGCUGCAACUCGCCUACAUGAAGCUGGAAUCGCUAGUAAUCGCGGAUCAGCAUGCCGCGGUUGAAUACCUUUCCCGGGCCUUUGACACACCGGCCCGUCACACCCCCGAAAAGUUUGUAACCCCCCCAAAGUCGGUGGGGGUAAACCCUUUUUGGAGGCCGGCCCGCCUAAAGGGGGGGACCAAAAGAAUUGGGGGUGAAGGUCGUAACAGGGGGAAAACCCUUAAAAAANUUNUNUNUNNUGUNUUUUUUUUGUUUUUUUUUUUUUGUGGUUUUUUUUUUGGUUGUUGUGUGUUUUUUUGUUUUUUUUUCUUGCCUAUUUUCUUCUUCUUCUCUCCUGUCUUAGUCAAUUAAAUUAAAAAAUGAAGAAGACUAACUACCUUACAGCACUCCUGUGAUGAUGCGUCUUAUUUGCUCUAUUACUUGAUUAUAUUUCAUAUUUGAUAGAGGAUAUUUGAAAAUAAACAAUAUAGAUAGUGAGAUGUCUUUUUGUAGAAUCGGUUGGCGUGUAUAAUGAGUUGAGAGGGUGUAUUGUUGCUUGGUUUGUUUUCUGCUUUAAUAUUUCACUUUUGUAUUUCGANAAAAUGUCGGAAAGUGAUAAAUAUUGAUCUCUUAUUUUGUUCAUCAUCUCUGCUUAU